GUAAGGAGUUUUCGGCAAUGGGGGGAACCCUGACCGAGCAACGCCGCGUGAGUGAUGACGGCCCUAUGGGUUGUAAAGCUCUGUUAUAAGGGACGAACAGCUUUGCUAGGAAAUGAGCAGAGUCUGACGGUACUUUAUCAGAAAGCCACGGCUAACUACGUGCCAGCAGCCGCGGUAAUACGUAGGUGGCAAGCGUUAUCCGGAAUUAUUGGGCGUAAAGAGUGAGCAGGCGGCAGAUUAAGUUUGAGGUUAAAGCGUGGGGCUCAACCCCAUAAAGCCUUGAAAACUGAUCAGCUAGAGUACGAGAGAUGUGAAGGGAACUUCAUGUGUAGCGGUGAAAUGCGUAGAUAUAUGGAAGAACACCAGUGGCGAAGGCGCUUCACAAGCUCGAAACUGACGCUCAGUCACGAAAGCGUGGGUAGCAAAUAGGAUUAGAAACCCCAGUAGUCC
rnacentral:rRNA from 1 species